GAGUUUGAUCGUGGCUCAGGAUGAACGCCGGCGGUGUGCCUAAUACAUGCAAGUCGUACGCACUGGCCCAACUGAUUGAUGGUGCUUGCACCUGAUCGACGAUGGAUCACCAGUGAGUGGCGGACGGGUGAGUAACACGUAGGUAACCUGCCCUGUACAGGGGGAUAACAAUCAGAAAUGACUGCUAAUACCGCAUAAGACCACAGCACCGCAUGGUGCAGGGGUAAAAACUCCGGUGGUACAGGAUGGACCCGCGUCUGAUUAGCUGGUUGGUGAGGUAACGGCUCACCAAGGCGACGAUCAGUAGCCGGCUUGAGAGAGUGAACGGCCACAUUGGGACUGAGACACGGCCCAAACUCCUACGGGAGGCAGCAGUGGGGAAUAUUGCACAAUGGGGAAACCCGUGAUGCAGCAACGCCGCGUGAGUGAAGAAGUAUUUCGGUAUGUAAAGCUCUAUCAGCAGGGAAGAAAGUGACGGUACCUGACUAAGAAGCCCGGCUAACUACG
rnacentral:rRNA from 1 species